rnacentral:rRNA from 1 species
UGGGGAAUUUUCCGCAAUGGGCGAAAGCCUAACGGAGCAAUACCGCGUGAGGGAGGAAUGCCUUUGGGUUGUAAACCUCUUUUCUCAGGGAAGAAGAUCUGACGGUACCUGAGGAAUAAGUAUCGGCUAACUCCGUGCCAGCAGCCGCGGUAAUACGGAGGAUGCAAGCGUUAUCCGGAAUCAUUGGGCGUAAAGCGUCCGCAGGUGGUUUCCAAAGUCUGCUGUUAAAGACCGGAGCUCAACUCCGGAACGGCGGUGGAAACUUGGAAACUAGAGUUCGGUAGGGGUAGCAGGAAUUCCCAGUGUAGCGGUGAAAUGCGUAGAUAUUGGGAAGAACAUCGGUGGCGAAGGCGUGCUACUGGACCGUAACUGACACUCAGGGACGAAAGCUAGGGGAGCGAAAGGGAUUAGAUACCCCUGUAGUCCUAGCUGUAAACGAUGGAAACUAGGUGUGGCUUGA